rnacentral:rRNA from 1 species
UAGCUAGUUGGUAGGGUAAGAGCCUACCAAGGCGACGAUCGGCAGCUGGUCUGAGAGGAUGGCCAGCCACACUGGAACUGAGACACGGUCCAGACUCCUACGGGAGGCAGCAGUGGGGAAUAUUGGACAAUGGGGGCAACCCUGAUCUAGCAAUGCCGCGUGUGUGAAGAAGGCCUGAGGGUUGUAAAGCACUUUCAGUGGGGAGGAGGGUAUUUAGGUUAAGAGCUAGGAUACUGGACGUUACCCACAGAAGAAGCACCGGCUAACUCCGUGCCAGCAGCCGCGGUAAUACGGAGGGUGCGAGCGUUAAUCGGAAUAACUGGGCGUAAGGGGCGCGUAGGUGGUUAGAUAAGUUAUCUGUGAAAUCCCCGGGCUCAACCUGGGCAGGUCAGAUAAGACUGUUUGACUCGAGUAUAGGAGAGGGUAGUGGAGUUUCCGGCGUAGCGGUGAAAUGCGUAGAGAUCGGAAGGAACACCAGUGGCGAAGGCGGCUACCUGGCCUAAUACUGACACUGAGGCACGAAAGCGUGGGGAGCAAACAGGAUUAGAUACCCUGGUAGUCCACGCUGUAAACGAUGUCAACUAGCUGUUGGUUAUAUGAAAAUAAUUAGUGGCGC